UACGAAGGGGGCUAGCGUUGCUCGGAAUCGCUGGGCGUAAAGCGCACGUAGGCGGAUUGUUAAGUCAGGGGUGAAAUCCUGGAGCUCAACUCCAGAACUGCCUUUGAUACUGGCGAUCUUGAGUUCGGGAGAGGUGAGUGGAACUGCGAGUGUAGAGGUGAAAUUCGUAGAUAUUCGCAAGAACACCAGUGGCGAAGGCGGCUUCCUGGACCGGUUCUGACACUGAGGAGCGAAAGCGUGGGGAGCGAUCCGG
rnacentral:rRNA from 1 species